ensembl:lncRNA
UGAAGAAGUGAGCAUGUGCCAGCAGUGUGCCCUUGUAGCUCAGAAAGCAAAGGAUAUCCUGGGCUCCGUCAGAAGAGGGGUGGCAGCAGGCACAGGGUGUUGAUUGUCUCUCUCUACUCUGCCCACCUGAAGCCCCAUCUGCAGUACUGCGUCCAGGUCUGGGACCCCAAUACAUGAAAGACAGGGAGCUGUUGGAGAGGGUCCAGAGCAGGGCCACAAAGAUGAUCGGAGGGCUGCAGCACCUCCCGUAUGAGGACUGGCUGAGGGAGCUGGGCUUGACCAGCCUGGAGAACGGAACGCUGCGGGGUAACCUCAUUGCAGCCUUCCCAUACCUAAAGGGAGACUACAAACAGGGGGGGAGUCAACUCUUUUCAAGGGUAGAUGAUGACAGGACUAGGGGAAACUGUUUUAAGUUGUGAGGGAGGGAAGAUUAAAGUUGGAUACGGGGGAAAUUCUUUACAGAGGGAGUGAUGCGGUGCUGGAACAGCUGCCCAGAGAGGCUGUGGAUGCCCUGUCCAUCCCUGGAGGAGUUCAGGGCCAGGUUGGAUGGGGCCCUGGGCAGCCUGGUCUAGUCUUAGAUAUGGAGCUUGGAAGCCCUGCAUGAAGCAGGUUUUUGUAGCUUGAUGAUCCUUGAGGUCCCUUCCAACGCAGGCCAUUGUAGGAGUCUAUGAGUCUAUGGAUUCUUCCUGCACAUCAGGGAGGAUGAAAGCAAACCUAUGGCUCGGCUCUGGCUCGCAGCUGGGCAGUGGAGCAAGCACGUGUUCCAGGUUAGCAGGCAGAGAUGCAGCUCCUGCAGGGACUUGCGAGGCCACAGGCACAACCUGCUUGGCAGAACGCUGAACAUACCUGAAACAGGAGGUUGUGGAGGGCUGGGAAGGGGCAGGAAGGGGAGGGAGAGGAAGUAAUGGGAAAUGGUGGGGGAGGAUGGCCAGGAAGUUGCAGAGCACAGGGAGAUGGAGGGGAGAAAGACGAGAGCAGAGGGUGAAGAACUCAGGAGAUGUGACCCUGUGCUGUGUGGCCAUCCCCUGCUGAAUGCUCCCCGCUGCCUGCGCCUGGUGCCCUUCCCAGGAAAACGUACACCCAGGGAUGCUCCUUCCCUGUGCAAAUGGGGCUGCUCACACAGCCUUGGCACUGCCCCUACCUCCCCUGUGCCCAAAGGCCGCCCCUCCCAGCGCCCAUUCAUCCUGGGCUGCCUCUGUUGGAGGAAGACUUCCAGCUCCUGGAAGACACGAGUCUGCUCCUUCCCAGUGUAUCACAACCCCACCAGCUUGGACAGAGUGCUCCACAUUUCCCCCCGAUGGGAUUCAGCAGGAGCUGUGAUGGAUCACGUUCUGCAUGCAGCACUUCCCCAGGCUGAGUGUCGGCCCCAAACCAUGCUGAACAAUUCCUCCUGCCUGGUUCCCGACCUGAGCCAGGAUUGUAUCCCUCCACUCAG